GACGAACGCUGGCGGCGUGCCUAAUACAUGCAAGUCGAGCGAAGCGGCGGAUGGGUGAGUAACGCGUGGGGGACCGGGCCUUAAGUCGGGGAUACCAGUUGGAAACAGAUGCUAAUACCGGAUACUAAAGGAUGGACUUGAGAGGAAUUAGCUAGUUGGUAAGGUAACGGCUUACCAAGGCGAUGAUGCAUAGCCGGGGUGAGAGACUGAUCGGCCACACUGGGACUGAGACACGGCCCAGACUCCUACGGGAGGCAGCAGUAGGGAAUCUUCCACAAUGGACGAAAGUCUGAUGGAGCAAUGCCGCGUGAGUGAAGAAGGUUUUCGGAUCGUAAAGCUCUUUUGUUGGUGAAGCGUUAAUCACCCAGAAAGUCCCGGCUAACUACGUGCCAGCCGCCGCGGUAAUUC
rnacentral:rRNA from 1 species